UUCUCCCCCUUUUUAGCCAAAAGAGACCAAAGAGACAAAAUAAAUGUCUAUUACUCAAACAGAAUGUCACACAGAAUAUCAAAGUAGAUUGUUAAAAGAGACCAACUGAGAUAAAAUCCAGAAAAUCAAAAAAACUAGAAAAAUACAUCAAGGCAUCACAACAUGACUGCCAAAAGAACCACCAGAACAUCCAUCACAAC
rnacentral:lncRNA from 1 species